rnacentral:rRNA from 1 species
CCUACGGGUGGCUGCAGUGGGGAAUUUUGGACAAUGGGGGCAACCCUGAUCCAGCCAUGCCGCGUGAGUGAAGAAGGCCUUCGGGUUGUAAAGCUCUUUCGGCCGGGAAGAAAUCGCUCAAGCUAAUACCUUGGGUGGAUGACGGUACCGGAAGAAGAAGCACCGGCUAACUACGUGCCCGCAGCCGCGGUAAUACGUAGGGUGCGAGCGUUAAUCGGGCGUGCUGAGGCUGCGCCGUGAGACAGAUGCGAAAUCCCCGGGCUUAACCUGGGAACUGCGUUUGUGACUGUGGUGCUCGAGUGCGGCAGAGGGGGGUGGAAUUCCACGUGUAGCAGUGAAAUGCGUAGAGAUGUGGAGGAACACCGAUGGCGAAGGCAGCCCCCUGGGUCGACACUGACGCUCAUGCACGAAAGCGUGGGGAGCAAACAGGAUUAGAUACCCGGGUAGUC